GGUUAAGCGACUAAGCGUACACGGUGGAUGCCCUGGCAGUCAGAGGCGAUGAAGGACGUGCUAAUCUGCGAUAAGCGUCGGUAAGGUGAUAUGAACUGUUAUAACCGGCGAUUUCCGAAUGGGGAAACCCAGUGUGAUUCGUCACACUAUCAUUAACUGAAUCCAUAGGUUAAUGAGGCGAACCGGGGGAACUGAAACAUCUAAGUACCCCGAGGAAAAGAAAUCAACCGAGAUUCCCCCAGUAGCGGCGAGCGAACGGGGAG
rnacentral:rRNA from 1 species